GAUCAUGGCUCAGGAUGAACGCUGGCGGCGUGCUUAACACAUUCAAGUCGAACGGAGAACGGGGAGCUUGCUCCCCGGGAUCAGUGGCGGACGGGUGAGUAACGCGUGAGCAACCUGCCUGUGUGUGGGGGAUAACACCCGGAAACGGGUGCUAAUACCGGAUAACGCAACGGAGCCGCAUGACUUUGUUGCCAAAGAUAUAUUGCGCACAGAUGGGCUCGCGUCUGAUUAGAUAGUUGG
rnacentral:rRNA from 1 species